UUCACUUCUCGCCCAUUUGGUUAAGAUCAAAUUGUAGUAACUAUUCCAUUCAGCUUAAUAUCUGAUACGAUCCCCAUGUGGGAUCUACGAUAUUAAACUGAUUUCUGGAAAAUGGCGAAGUGAUAGGGGCUUGUUCCACUUUUGCUGCGGAUCGGCUCCGUAUUGCAGUACUUCCGCCAUUUUUUUAGCUGCU